ensembl:lncRNA
GUCGCCUUAGCCAAGGUCUGGCGCGCUGUGACAGCGGCGGGGUUUCCCACAGAGACUACAGACUCGCAGUGUCGGGGGACAAAAGUCCGGGCCAGCCCUGCCAGGGAACCUCGAGGCAUGGUGCUCUGGCCGACCCCUAGCCGGGUCGCUGGUCUGGUCCCCAGGGACAGCAAGCUGAGCGGCCUGUGAGCAGCAGCAGCGUCAAGGCUGGAUGUUGAAUUGCCUAUACUUCAAUCUGAACGUGGGAUGAGAAUGAUGGCUGUGCAUUAAAUGAACAACUCAAUAUGUGACGCCAUGGAGAAGUACAAGGAGCUCAUACAAGAGAACAAUUCCUACACAUCAGGCACUUCCAGCUCCUGCGUGAACGGACUCCAUAGAAGAACAAUAUAAAGAUUUUGCUGAAUGAGAACAAAAAACUGAUGGUGGAGCAGACUGUUCUGCCAGCAUCCUGUGUGGAGGCAAAGAGGUUCUGUGAAGAGGCCGGAAUGAACAUCUGUGUCCCCAGAGCCAAGCAGUUGCAGGUCCAGCAAGUAUCUGCAUAGCAAGAUUUCCUGAAGUGGAAAUGAGUACAGGCCAGGGCAGCACAGCCUGCUUGACUGUAAGAGACUUGUACAUAACAUAGCUCCCACUAAUUCUUCAUUCAACAGAAAACCUGCUGGAUAAAAGCCUUGGGCACGAAGUCAUUCAAGUUAAGGUAAAGAGAGCUGCUAUUAGAAGAAGCUGCACACUUUGGGGGCAAGCCUGAAACAGUGGCCAAGAACAGAGUCUAAUCCACCACCAACAUAUGAUCCUUUGCUGGGAAACAAGCCUGAUCUACACAGCCUUGGGAACGAGCUAAGCCAGAUUGGGGAAUAAGAAUAAGGAAGGAUUAGAGGAAACAAUGCAGGACACUCUGAAGCAGAGAGAACUGAUCACCCAGGAAAGUGACUUGGGAGAAACAGUGUAGAAGAAUUGUGACAUCUUUGAGAUCAGUACUGUGCAUAGUCCACAGUUCGAUUUCUAGCUGUUUUUAAAAGCUGAUAUAUAAAUCGAAGCCCAUUUACUCUAUGACACUUGGGGAUGCAGGAAAUGACCUCAGUUGACAGGUAAUGCUGGAUUGUCCAACCGAAUAGAGCUGACGUAAGAGGGAGAGCUGAAUCAACAAACCCUCACUAAUCCUUUUUUCCCUUGCUCUGCUAGGUCUAAAAUUCUCCAGCGAAACUCGAACAUGGCAUAGACCAGAACAAGAUCUCCCUUGGAGAGCAGUGCCACAGGAGGAGUCUAAGUGUGCACAACAAAUACACCACUAUUACAUCGCAUCCUUAAUAUCCAUAGCAGUUGUGGGCUGCAUUUUCCUACUUUAGUUUGAUUUCUUUGGAUUGAAUAGGCCAUACUUUCAUCUCGGCUCUCCCGAGCAAGCGUGCACAUUUGAAGAAGCGUGCACAGAGAAGAGCUGAUGCACAUCAAUCGAGAACUGCUGAGCAUCCAGGAAGAGUGUGCACAUGUACAUUUGUACUUGUCCUGAAGGGUCACCCAGAAGAGUUUCAUGGAGAUCAGUCCACAACAUUGGAAAAACUUUGAGUCAAAGACUGUCAUAUGUUUUAUACUCAGUAUUGGAUGGCUUUGUCCUUCAUACCCU